rnacentral:rRNA from 1 species
AACUGCGGGAAACUGCAGCUAAUACCGUAUACGUCCUAACGGAGAAAGAAUUUCGCCGAGAGAUUAGCCCGCGUUGGAUUAGCUAGUUGGUGGGGUAAUGGCCCACCAAGGCUCCGAUCCAUAGCUGUUCUGAGAGGAAGAUCAGCCACACUGGGACUGAGACACGGCCCAGACUCCUACGGGAGGCAGCAGUUGGGAAUCUUGGACAAUGGGGGAAACCCUGAUCCAGCCAUGCCGCGUGAGUGAUGAAGGCCUUCGGGUUGUAAAACUCUUUCGACGGGGACGAUAAUGACGGUACCCGUAGAAGAAGCUCCGGCUAACUUCGUGCCAGCAGCCGCGGUAAUACGAAGGGGGCUAGCGUUGUUCGGAAUUACUGGGCGUAAAGCGCGCGCAGGCGGUUCUCCAAGUCAGUGGUGAAAGCCCGGAGCUCAACUCCGGAACUGCCAUUGAAACUGUUGAACUUGAGGACGAGAGAGGUGAGUGGAAUUCCCAGUGUAGAGGUGAAAUUCGUAGAUAUUGGGAAGAACACCAGUGGCGAAGGCGGCU